UCCAUAAAUAUGUAUACAUUUUUCACCUUAAUCCUUUGCAAUAAGGUGAAAAAAUGUAUACAUAUUUAUGAACUCGACUGUACGCGCUUUUGUGACUAUAUAUAAGUCCAAUGAUUUGGCUUAGUUUCUCACUGCGCUUUCAGUAAACAUGAAGUCCGUCAUUAUAUUGAUUUUAUUCGGAUUGGUUGGUGGAAUUCUCUGUGACUUUCUCAUGAUCGACCCUCGCUAUCAGCGGCUAAGGCAUCAUAAAAAACGCCUGCAUGGGAACGGUCUCGAUUGUCGUAAGAGCUGUCCACGGCCGCAUCCUCCGUACAGACCGUUCUGUGCCACUAAUUAUCGCAGUUAUCUCAGCGAGUGCCUGAUGUUAUGCGACAGCAAGGGUAUCGGUCUCUACAAGGAUCACGACGGUCCAUGUUAGGUUGAAAAACGUUUCUAUGUGUGGCUAAUAAACACUUACAUAUG